rnacentral:pre_miRNA from 1 species
AAAGUCGUCAAAGCGGCUGUGACCUAUGUUCUCUCUGCUUCAUAUCACAGCCACCUUUGAUGAGCUUCG